rnacentral:rRNA from 1 species
AUUGAACGCUGGCGGCAUGCCUUACACAUGCAAGUCGAACGGCAGCACGGGAGCAAUCCUGGUGGCGAGUGGCGAACGGGUGAGUAAUACAUCGGAACGUGCCCAGUAGUGGGGGAUAGCCCGGCGAAAGCCGGAUUAAUACCGCAUGAGACCUGAGGGUGAAAGCGGGGGAUCGCAAGACCUCGCGCUAUUGGAGCGGCCGAUGUCAGAUUAGCUAGUUGGUGGGGUAAAGGCCUACCAGGGCAACGAUCUGGAGUUGGUCUGAGAGGACGACCAGCCACACUGGGACUGAGACACGGCCCAGACUCCUACGGGAGGCAGCAGUGGGGAAUUUUGGACAAUGGGCGCAAGCCUGAUCCAGCAAUGCCGCGUGCAGGAAGAAGGCCUUCGGGUUGCAAACUGCUUUUGUCAGGGAAGAAAUCCUCUGGGUUAAUACCUCGGGGGGAUGACGGUACCUGAAGAAUAAGCACCGGCUAACUACGUGCCAGCAGCCGCAGUAA